rnacentral:rRNA from 1 species
GACAGAGGCCUCAAGCGUUAGGCGGAAUCACUGGGCUUAAAGCGUGUGUAGGCGGACGCCUAAGUACCUUGUGAAAUCCCACGGCUCACCCGUGGAAACGGCUGGGUAUACUGGGCGUCUUGGGCCAACUAGGGGCAACUGGAACAAGCGGUGGAGCGGUGAAAUGCGUAGAUAUCGCUUGGAACGCCAACGGUGAAAACAGGUUGCUGGGGUUGUGCCGACG